rnacentral:snRNA from 1 species
GUGCUCACUUCAGUAGCACAUAUUCUAAAAUUGGAAUACAAAGAAGAUUAGCAUGGCCCCUGCACAAGAAUAACAGGCAAAUUUGUGAAGCAUUCCAUAUUUUU